AACGAACGCUGGCGGCAGGCUUAACACAUGCAAGUCGAGCGCCCCGCAAGGGGAGCGGCAGACGGGUGAGUAACGCGUGGGAAUCUACCCAUCUCUACGGAAUAACGCAUGGAAACGUGUGCUAAUACCGUAUAAGUCCUUCGGGAGAAAGAUUUAUCGGAGAUGGAUGAGCCCGCGUUGGAUUAGCUAGUUGGUGGGGUAAAGGCCUACCAAGGCGACGAUCCAUAGCUGGUCUGAGAGGAUGAUCAGCCACACUGGGACUGAGACACGGCCCAGCCUCCUACGGGAGGCAGCAGUGGGGAAUAUUGGACAAUGGGCGCAAGCCUGAUCCAGCCAUGCCGCGUGAGUGAUGAAGGCCCUAGGGUUGUAAAGCUCUUUCACCGGUGAAGAUAAUGACGGUAACCGGAGAGGAAGCCCCGGCUAACUUCGUGCCAGCCGCCGCCGUAAAAC
rnacentral:rRNA from 1 species